AUUCACAACCAUUUCCAACAGCUGAAAACCAACACGGUAACGCUAAUUCCCUAACGCAUUUAAUAAUACAUGAACGCUCGUUUGCCCCUAGUUAAGUUCCAGAGGUGAGACAUCUUAUCACCGCCUCCCUCUUACAAGCAGGUCAUGGAAUCUGAGCGCGCAGUGCCCAAAAGCUGGGUCCGAAGAAUACCCGUCUGAGCAGUGCUCAGAAACUUGUGGUGGUUGUUUCUCCUGCAGGGCUGGGAAGAAGGCUGGGCAGGGUGGAGAGGACAGCAUCGCUGCCCUGCUUUCUGAAACUGCUCCCUCCCAGUCUCGUUUAGUCUGGCACCACUGCACAAGGUAUUGAUUGUCAAGGCCAACACAGCGAGAAGUGAAGUUUUCACUCAGCAGGACAGUCUGUCCUUUUUCUAGUGACAGAAGAAUUCAGCGCCUUAACUACUUUUGUUCUUUUAUAUAUACACACGCAGAUAUAAAUUACACCCGUGACAGCAAUAAAACCAUGCUGUAAUCUCCAUACAACUGCCGGCCUAGAGCAGCCGAGCAGAGCAUAAACAGGGUAAGCUAUGCGUGAACAAACUCCAGAUCAAGAUCCGACGCGAGGUGCUUACAGCAGGGUUAAACAACAUUUUUCUACCACACUGAAAAAGGUACGCUGCGAACAUCAAAACCCCCAACAAUCUGUGAUGCCAAAAGGAUUCAGAUUGCCUGCAGGUGACUGAACUACCACUUUCACUUCACAGAAAAAACACCAACAGAGAGAGACAUCACAUAAACACACGCAUGACCUUGGCCAGCCUCAGACUUUGUUUACAGCAAAUAUUUACAAGUUCACUGUUUUGUUGUUGGUGGUGGUGUUUUUUUUAAUUCAAAUUCUUGCCACAAUUCACAGAAGUCACAAAUACAGUUUUCAAGAUUAGCAAGUUUCUGAACGUGUCCUUAUGGUUGAGGGAGGAGAGCGUUAUAAAGCUCAGUUGCAGCUCCUUAGACUUAGGCCUGUCAUAUAAAGCAAUACCUCGCAAGGUUUGCCAGUACUGCCCGUUUCAACCCACAGAUGUGUAAUGAUUUACUCUGUCCCCAAAAUUCUGCUCAGAAUUAAGUCAAGGCUUCCAAAAACUUGUAGAGACAUAGUUAGAUCAUAGCCUUUUGACAGACUAUUCAACAUGUCAACGGAUACAAGUUAUGACUUUGUUUUUUUUAAUUCAGCAGUGACUCAUCACACAGCAAUCUAUUUACUCACUUCCGCUCAGUGGCCUUGAUUAUAAUUGGUCCGAUGUAAUAAAACUGUCCAGUUUGGAGAUAUCAAACUUUGCCUUAACAUACAGAAGAGUUACUGACCCAAGAAAAUCAGUUUGUGAUCAAAGCGUUCCCUUCUCAGGUUUACUUUCAGCCUACCCGGUAAGGCAUUCUAUUUCACCCUACUGGAACCCGUUUUCAAUAAGACCAUCCGGAGCCACAGAGUUGGAAAAACAAAACUAAAAAUCCUGUGAAAUAGGAAAGAGUGACUAGCAAGAACGUCAAGCAGACCAGGAGACUUAACUAUCAGGUUACUUUUCAUUAAUCGGCGGGUCACGCACAACAGGCAUCGCAUUUAUUUGGAAGCAAAGAGUCCCACUACAGACAAAGCCCUGCCGAAGAGCGCGCAGACAGACUGCUGAGCCCUGGCAAAGCCUCCACGAAGCCGAUGGGCUCCAGGAAAUCACAGCAGCAGCUGCAUGAAAACAAGCGACCGAUGCUUUUAAACCAAGCUUUCAAACAGCAGCCUCCAGAACCAGUCCACAAGUCUGUGCUUUUGUUACUCUGGGUAGAAUAAGAGCUUUUAUGCCUGUUAUAAUACAGCAAAUCUAAGACUGAGUUUGUGUGAAAACACGCAUUUCCUUGACCAGCAACAUUGCUCGCUAGCUGAACAUGAGGUAUUUUGUGAGGUGAUUUAUCCACUUAGCGCUGCCAGACCUCCAACCUGAAACGAGGAGCGAGACGUCACGUUACAUCAGACAGACUGCAAUAUUACCUAAGAGACGCAAACGAACAGCACUGAAAAGACAAAAGCACCGUGACUGAAGCGUGAGGACACGACACGGGACGGACCAGUGUGAAAAACAGGUCUGUCGAUAAACAUCUGAGAGCCGCUGCUAACCCGGAGCUCACCCCAGCCUUUUAAGGCUCACGGAGCGGGCUGUACUCACCCAGCGCUGGUCCUAUACGUGUUUAUGGGGCUUUUUCUGCCUAACACAAACCCCACUUUUGGAGAAAGCUUGUUACACCAAUAUGAAUCCUUGAAGAGGGUUUUUUUUACUGCAAAAAGGAAUCUGAAAGCAAGGGGUACACUUGGGGUGUGAGGCCAGAAGAGCUGUGAGCAGGUUUGGGACAGAAGAAAAGUAUUUCUGAUGCCUGAACAGUAUUGGCAGCCAGACCACGCAGAAGGUUUUUAGAUGGUUACCAAAUCUUUUCUGCUGUUAACGUCAAGUGAAUGGGAGUUUCAAAAGGAAAGGAGUCUACAUUAUGUCAUCGACCCGGUAGGAUCAGGUGAAGACGUGAUGGCCUUGGAGUGGUAAGUACUGAUCUUUGAAAACUAACAGAGGAUGAGUGAGACUCCACAAGGCAGGAAAAGUAUUUGGGCUUCUAAUUUACCAAAUGUUUUCCAACUUUGGAAAAAUCAAUGCAAGUUUAUAACUCUCUAUAUAAUGCAGAAUCCGCACCACCAUCCGAGGGCUUAAAAAAGGGAAUGAAGGAAGUCUUGGAGAAUUUUAGAUCAGUCAGCCUUGUUUCUUACAUGACAAAAAUAGAAAAAAAAAUCAAAUUAAAAAAAAAAAAAUCAAAGUAUCUACUUUCAGGUAC